GGGCCGGUAGCUCAGCGGCAGAGCGCUUGUAUGGCAUACAAGAGGUCGUGGGUUCAAAUCCCAUCCGGUCCACCA
rnacentral:tRNA from 1 species